rfam:Nicotiana attenuata strain TT chromosome 10, whole genome shotgun sequence.
CCCUGUAGCCUCCUGCUUAUAAGUGUGGUGCACAACACACCCAUUAACAAGACUUUACUUAUUCUGUGAAAAACUGCCCCUCUUUUUGGACCCAAGUCUUGCUUGCAGGCCGAUCCAGGUAGAAGACAUUGUCAGUUGGGGAGUUUGGCUGGGGCGGCACAUCUGUAAAAAGAUAACGCAGGUGUCCUUAGAUGAGAUCAACGAGAAUAGAAAUCUCAUGUGGAACAGAAGGGUAAAGCUCGUUUGAUUCUAAUUUCCAGUACAAAUACAAGCCGUGAAAGCGUGGCCUAACUAUCCUUUAGACCUUCGGAAUUCGAAGCUAGAGGUGUCAGAAAAGUUACCACAGGGAUAACUGGCUUGUGGCAGCCAAGCAUUCAUAGCGAAGUUGCUUUUUGAUCCUUCGAUGUCGUCUCUUCCUAUCAUUGUGAAGCAGAAUUCACCAAGUGUUAGAUUAUUCACCCACCAAUAGGGAACGUUAGCUGGGUUUAGACCGUCAUGAGACAAGUUAGUU